rnacentral:sRNA from 1 species
UGUUGCACCUCUAUCGUACACGAGCAAUGUUACAAUUUAAAUUAGUGCUUUUGGCACGAGGAGGAUAUUAUUAUGGAAAACGGAACAGUAAAAUGGUUCAACGCUGAAAAAGGAUUUGGAUUUAUCUCACGUGAAGAUGGAAGCGACGUAUUCGUUCACUUCUCAGCUAUCCAAGGUGACGGAUUCAAAACAUUAGAAGAAGGUCAAGCAGUGACUUUCGACGUUGAAGAAUCAGACCGCGGCCCACAAGCUGCAAACGUUGUAAAAGCUUAAUUUUAUCUGUAAAUCAAAUUGAUGGUAGACAUCAAUUUUUAC